UACGUAGGGUGCAAGCGUUGUCCGGAAUUAUUGGGCGUAAAGGGCUCGUAGGCGGUCCAUCGCGUCGGGAGUGAAAAGCUGGGGCUUAACCCCAGUCCUGCUUCCGAUACGGGUGGACUAGAGGUAGGUAGGGGAGAUCGGAAUUCCUGGUGUAGCGGUGAAAUGCGCAGAUAUCAGGAAGAACACCCGUGGCGAAGGCGGCUCUCUGGGACGGUACUGACGCUGAGACGCGAAAGCGUGGGGAGCGAACAGG
rnacentral:rRNA from 1 species